AUGGCGGGGAGUGUGGUGGGGCAGAGGGAGUACUGUGAUGUGGGGGGGGGUGGCCUUCGACUUCAACUCUUGAAUCCGGCUUCCAACCGCACUACUCAGACAGAACGCACCACGGUGCUGUCUCCUGAGGACAAGGCUAACAUCAAGGCGGUCUGGGCGAAGGUUUGCGACCACGCUCCUGACUAUGUCACGGAGCCCCUUGAGAGGGAAGGACCCUCCUCUCCCCGCUCACAUUUUGGGUAUGGCUCAGCCCUCAUCAAGAAACAAUGCAAGUAGGUGGCCGACACACUGACCAACACCAUGGCCCACUGAGAUGACAUGCCCAAUGACUUGUCUGAGCUGAGGCAACUGCACGUCAACGAGCUGUGGGUGGACCCAGGCAACAUCAGGCUCCUGAGCCACUGCCUGCUGGUGACUCUGGCCGCUCACCUCCCCGCCGAGUUCACCCCUGCGGUGCACGCCUCCCUGGACAAGUUCCUGGCUUCUGUGAGCACCGUGCUGACCUCCAAAUACCGUUAAGCUGGAGCCUCGGUGGCCAUGCUUCUUGCCCCUUGGGCCUCCCGCCAGGCCCUCCUCCCCUUCCUGCACCCGUACCCCCUGGUCUUUGAAUAAAGUCUGAGUGGGCGGCA